GAAAAAAAAAAAAAAAAGUACGAAUGCAUCAUUUGAUAUAAAGAAGCAUAUCCGAUAGUCUAAAAUAUUGUUUGGAAUCAAGUGAAAAUUUUAAAAUAAAUUAUGAAAAUUAUAGAAUGAAAUAAUUUAAAGAAAUUAAAAUUAAUAUAAAUUUAUUGGAUUAACAAAUUACAGCCUUUCUUUAAAAAAUGAAGGGUAUAUAAAUAUGUAAUGUUGGAUGCAAAUAUAGUUGAUGCUUUUUGUUGGAUUUUAUUUAAGCAUUUUAUAUUUAUAUUCAAAAUACUAUUUUUAUAAUUAUAUUGUUUAUAUAUUAUUAACUCAGAAAAGAUUAUACAAAUGGCCAAGCUGCAAACUCAAGGUCAGUGUUAUUAAGGUGAGAGGCAUCAUAGCACCCUAUGGCCUUAGGCGAAAGGUGAGGUAAUGGCCUUACUGAAGUGGGGCACCAUAGCCUACACACACACA
rnacentral:misc_RNA from 1 species